CUUUGUGGACAGGGAUGUGGCUGAGCUUGCUGUGAUGUGGUACUGACUCGCUGUCUUUUCUGGGACCCUUCUUGGAUUGAUGAAUCUGAAGUUUCAUCUAAAAACUGCAUCCCAAGGGCCCUUUCGCUGGUACUGACUCGCUGUCUUUUCUUUGAUACAGGCGUAUGGGUCAACAGUAUCACAGAUACGUGAUGAGCUUGCCACCGGUUGGCAGCAAUAUAGCCACCGCAUCCUGGGACCCUUCUUGCGUAAUCCAUCCAGCAUUUUCCUGAAUCCCUAGUUUUCUUUCAUCGGCAAGGAUUCUGGCGCAGAGAAUGCGUUCCUGAUGGGGCGGCCGUGGUGGAGGCAGAGCGUAUAUGCAGCAGAAAUCCACCGAUGGGAUGAGCUCGUGAAAUCCACCAUCGUCUCCAUCUGCUCCAGUGAUGGGAGAUCAGCUGAACCCAUGUAAGCUCGUGUUGAACAAAGGAGGUGCAGAGGGUGGCAGAGCCGAUGUGUGGGAUGAAGGCGGAGGUCGUUGUCGAUCUUGGAGCAGAGGGUCCUUCCCACGACCUUCAAGGUACCGGUCUCCCCUGUGUAGCAGAAGGGCGGAGGCGGGUGUACGAGCGGUGGCGGGUGCAUCACCGCGAGCCGGCGCGACGACACGAGAAGGCCGGCUCGUGCGGGCGCCGGGGAGCAAUGGUUUAACGGUGCAAGGAGGUCGGCGACGCGGCCAUGGAGGCAGAAACUAGUAGCGUGCAGCAUAACGGGAGCCACCAUCUGCGGGAGCGGUGACUGGAACUAAAAAACCGGCUCAUGACGGGGCGACGCCAUCCCGGAUUUGAGAUGGACUCAGAGCAAGGUGGAGGCACGGAAACGACCAUGGCUAGGAUCACAACGCGGCAGUGUCUUGAGAUGGAUCAGCCGAGGCGAGGCGGCUUGUGACAGCCGACUAGAGGAGACCGAGUCCAUGGUGGCCAAUGGAACUUGUGUCGGUGCGUGGAUCAAGCUGCACUUGCAAAGGCAAGGUGAAGCAGAGCUAGGGAAGGUGAAGACCGACGCCAUGGCGGCUCAAGGCGUGGUACAGGCCGACGUCACGGCGGCUGGAAGUGCGAUGGUGGCUCAAGCGCAGCGGCGGCUCAGGGUGAAGACGGAUCCAAUACGGGCGAGGCGCGACGACCGCGGCACGGACGAGGCUUGGUGAGCCUGGCUCGAAUACUUCGGUCAUGGAGUGAUCCUGACUCGAGCGAGGCACGACACCGAAUCUUUUGUCAACCUGUUUUUAGAUCGUGGCUCCCCUUUUUCUUUUUCUCCUGUGUAAUAUGAUUUCCCUCCGGUGACAUCUAAUAUCACGAGCAAUCGAUCCAACACAAGAUGUCCUUGUAAUUGUUGCAAUGUCUGAUAGUUCUUUCGACUUGAGCCGGCUGUUCGAUCUUGUCUCGGUUAGUAAUGCAACAUCGUAGGGUGGAUGCUCGAAUCAACGAUCUGGCAAAACUCCGGCUGUGUUCAACGUUUUCCCGUGUCGGGUUGUCCCAUGUGACUGUUCCUUG
rnacentral:lncRNA from 1 species